UAAGUCGAAAUUAUUGAAGUGAUAAGGUUUUCAUAAGUCAAAAGGUGAAAUGAUGAGAUGAAAGGUGUCAAAUUUUGAUACAAUAAGGCUAAAUCAUUGAAAAUAAGGAAUUUUCAUCAACCUUAUCACUUUGCACGACCAUUAUUCUGAAAAACAGAGAGAAAAGAAAACCAAAAACCAUUUCUUGGCUGGUUUGAAGAAAUUCUAAGGAGAUCCAAGUGAAAGCAAAGCCAAAGAAGUAGAUUAAGCUUAGUUCUAGCCUUUUUAUGAUAUUUCUUGGGGUUUCCAAGUGGUUUGAGGUUUAGAAAAGCUUGAAGAGAUUGUUCUCGCCGAAAAGUUGCUCGGAUAAGCAUAUCAACACCUAAGACAUCACUUGUUACACGAUGAAAUAUAUUUUGGACAAAAGGUAGAGAAAGAAAUGUGUGAAUGACAUGAGGAGAACUGAAGCAUGGUCCUGACCCUGAUUUGUACAUAUGAACAUAUCGACCUUUUGUGGGUUAUUUCAGUUAUCAGUGAGAUGUUUGUAAUAAAGUGUGAAGUUAUGUUUUGAAAAUAAAUUGGGUUAUUUAAUACUUA